GUUGACUGGGCCGUUUAAGACA
rnacentral:siRNA from 1 species